rnacentral:rRNA from 1 species
CUUGGUCAUUUAGAGGAAGUAAAAGUCGUAACAAGGUUUCCGUAGGUGAACCUGCGGAAGGAUCAUUAACGAAAUGCUUGUCGUGAAGGGUUGUAGCUGGUCCCCUCGGGGCACACGUGCACGCCCGGAUCGCAUCCACCUCCAACACCUGUGCACGACCUGUAGCUUGGGACGAUCACGGGGCCCUUGUUGGCCACGAAUGCCCUCGUCUACGAAGUAUCUCACACACAACCAGUCAUGUGGAAUGUAUACGCGAAGCGUCUAACGAACGCGACAAACACAACUUUCAACAACGGAUCUCUUGGCUCUCGCAUCGAUGAAGAACGCAGCGAAAUGCGAUAAGUAAUGUGAAUUGCAGAAUUCAGUGAAUCAUCGAAUCUUUGAACGCACCUUGCGCUCCUUGGUAUUCCAAGGAGCAUGCCUGUUUGAGUGUCAUGAAAUUCUCAACUGCCCCGAGCUCUUGUGGCUUGUGAGGUGAGGUUGGAUUUGGAGGACAUUGCUGGCGUGUGCUCUGUGCAUGCUUGUCGGCCCCUCUUGAAUGCAUGAGCUUUCCAGUCCUUGGCAAAGUAUCGUCGAUGUGAUAGUUAUCUGCGUCGCUCGAGAAAAGCGUGUAAGGGGAAAUCUACGAUCGUAUCGGCCCUUCGGGGGUUCCGUGUCUGACACAUUCGACCUCAAAUCAGGUAGGACUACCCGCUGAACUUAAGCAUAUCAAUAAGCGGAGGAAAAGAAACUAACAAGGAUUCCCCUAGUAACUGCGAGUGAAGCGGGAAAAGCUCAAAUUUAAAAUCUGGCGGCCACCGGUCGUCCGAGUUGUAGUCUGGAGAAGUGCUUUCCGUGCUGGACCGUGUACAAGUCCCUUGGGACAGGGCGUCAUAGAGGGUGAGAAUCCCGUCUUUGACACGGACUGCCAGUGCUCUGUGAUGCGCUCUCAAAGAGUCGAGUUGUUUGGGAAUGCAGCUCAAAAUGGGUGGUAAAUUCCAUCUAAAGCUAAAUACAGGCGAGAGACCGAUAGCGAACAAGUACCGUGAGGGAAAGAUGAAAAGCACUUUGGAAAGAGAGUUAAACAGUACGUGAAAUUGUUGAAAGGGAAACGCUUGAAGUCAGUCGCGUCUGCCGGGACUCAGCCUUGCUUCUGCUCGGUGCAUUUUCCGGCUGACGGGCCAGCAUCGAUUUUGACCGUUGGAAAAAGGCAGAGGGAAUGUGGCACCUUUGGGUGUGUUAUAGCCCCCUGUCGUAUGCGACGGCCGGGAUCGAGGACCGCAGCACGCCUUCAUGGCCGGGGUUCGCCCACGUCCGUGCUUAGGAUGCUGGCGUAAUGGCUUUAAGCGACCCGUCUUGAAACACGGACC